rnacentral:rRNA from 1 species
GACGGGGGGUCCUAGCGUUGUUCGGAAUCAUUGGGCGUAAAGCGGGCGUAGGUGGCCAUUCAAGUCGGGAGUGAAAGCCCUGGGCUCAACCCAGGAAGUGCUCUCGAUACUGUUUGGCUUGAGUGUGGGAGAGGGUAGUGGAAUUCCAGGUGUAGUGGUGAAAUACGUAGAUAUCUGGAGGAACACCGGUGGCGAAGGCGGCUACCUGGCCCAACACUGACACUGAGGCCCGAAAGCGUGGGGAUCAAACAGG